rnacentral:rRNA from 1 species
CGGGAAAUCUUACCGGGUCCGGACACACUGAGGAUUGACAGGCAAUAUCUAUUAAAAAGAUUAUAUUUUUAAUAUAAUUCUUUUUUUAAUAGUGUUAAAUAUGCUAGUCCUUUCAUGAUUAUGUGAUAGGUGGUGCAUGGCCGUUCUUAGUUCGUGGAGUGAUCUGUCUGCUUAAUUGCGUUUCACUAAGGGCCCAUAAAUUCAAGGUAUGUUAGCUAUUGUUUCCCUAUUGACCCCUUAUUUAAUAAGCGCGUGUCUUUAUGGGUUUAAACAUUGCGCAUGCUGUUGGGUCCUGAAAGCAACGAACGUGACCGCAACGUCUUGUUGCCUUUAUCUUGUUAUAUCUAUUAUUUUUAUAAUAGAAUAACUAACAGAGGCUAAUCUAAAACUAGACGGACCGCUGUUUCUUUCUUAAACCAGAGGAAGGUUGCGGCAAUAACAGGUCUGUG